rnacentral:pre_miRNA from 1 species
UCUUACGGAUGAGCAAAGUAGUUUCUUGAGAUGGAAUCUAAUCCUGGUGAAGAUGCUGUGAA